GAUGAACGCUGGCGGCGUGCCUAAUACAUGCCAGUCGAGCGAACAGACGCGGCGCUUGCUCCUCUCACGUUUGCCGCGGACGGGUGUGUCACACGUGGAUCACCUCCCUAUAAGUCUGGGAACUCUUCGGAACACCGGCUCUAAUCCCAGAUAAUAUCUUGCUCCGUAUGGUUCAAUAGUGAAAUUCGGCUUUGCGGUAUCUUCUAGCUGCAUCUGGGCCGCAUUGGCUAGUUGGUAAGGUAACGGCUUUCCACGGCAACGAUGCGUGGCCGACUGGAGAGGGGGAUCGGCCACACGGGAACGUAGACACGGACCAGACUCCUACGGGAGGCAGCAGUAGGGAAUGGGCCGCAGUGGGCGAAAGCCUGACGGAGCGACGCCGCGUGAGUGAUGAAAGUCUUCGGAGCGUAAAACUCUGUUAUUAGUGAAGAACAAAUUUGUAAGUAACUAUGCACGUCGUGACGGUACUGAAUCAGAAAGCCACGGCUAACUACGUG
rnacentral:rRNA from 1 species